rnacentral:rRNA from 1 species
CCUACGGGAGGCAGCAGUAGGGAAUAUUGGGCAAUGGGCGCAAGCCUGACCCAGCCAUGCCGCGUGCCGGAAGAAGGCCCUCUGGGUUGUAAACGGCUUUUGACGGGGAAGAAACGACUCUUGCGAGAGGCAUUGACGGUACCCGCAGAAUAAGCACCGGCUAACUCCGUGCCAGCAGCCGCGGUAAUACGGAGGGUGCAAGCGUUGUCCGGAUUUAUUGGGUUUAAAGGGUGCGUAGGCGGUCUGGUAAGUCGGCGAUGAAAGCCCGGGGCUCAACCCCGGAACUGUCGUCGAUACUGUCGGACUUGAAUAUGGUGGAGGCUGGCGGAAUGGGCGGUGUAGCGGUGAAAUGCAUAGAUACCGUCCAGAACCCCGAUUGCGAAGGCAGCUGGUUGUACCAUUAUUGACGCUGAGGCACGAAAGCGUGGGGAGCGAACAGGAUUAGAUACCCUGGUAGUCCACGCCGUAAACGAUGGAUACUCGUCGUCGGCGAUAGAUAGUCGGCGACUCAGCGAAAGCGGUAAGUAUCCCACCUGGGGAGUACGCCGGCAACGGUGAAACUCAAAGGAAUUGACGGCUGAGACGNGCGACGACGACGACGAGGGAGGAGG